rnacentral:rRNA from 1 species
GACGAACGCUGGCGGCGUGCUUAACACAUGCAAGUCGAACGGAAAGGCCCUGCUUUUGUGGGGUGCUCGAGUGGCGAACGGGUGAGUAACACGUGAGUAACCUGCCCUUGACUUUGGGAUAACUUCUGGAAACUCGGGCUCAUACCGGAUAGGAUCUCCUGCUGCAUGGUGGGGGUUGGAAAGUUUCGGCGGUUGGGGCUGGACUCGCGGCUUAUCAGCUUGUUGGUGGGGUAGUUGCUUACCAAGGCUUUGACGGGUAGCCGGCCUGAGAGGGUGACCGGCGACAUUGGGACUGAGAUACGGCCCAGACGCCUACGGGAGGCAGCAGUGGAGAAUAUUGCACAAUGGGCGGAAGCCUGAUGCAGCAACGCCGCGUGCGGGAUAACGGCCUACGGGUUGUAAACCGCUGUCGCCUGUGACGAAGCGUGAGUGACGGUAAUGGGUAAAGAAGCACCGGCUAACUACGUG